UACGUAGGGCGCAAGCGUUAUCCGGAAUUAUUGGGCGUAAAGAGCUCGUAGGCGGCCUGUUGCGUCCGCUGUGAAAGCCCGGGGCUUAACCCCGGGUCGGCAGUGGAUACGGGCAGGCUAGAGGUAGGUAGGGGAGAAUGGGAUUCCCGGUGUAGCGGUGAAAUGCGCAGAUAUCGGGAGGAACACCGGUGGCGAAGGCGGUUCUCUGGGCCUUACCUGACGCUGAGGAGCGAAAGCGUGGGGAGCGAACAGG
rnacentral:rRNA from 1 species